rnacentral:sRNA from 1 species
UGCGUGGCUAAGUUUUUCACCUACUAGGACGGGGGUGGGGUGGGGAGAACAGGUGUCCUUCUAAAAUACAGCACAAGCUACAGCCUGCGUCCAGCCAUAACCCAGGAGUAACAUCAGAAACAGGUGAGAAUGACCACUUUAACUCACCGGGCCCGUCGCACUGAAAUAAGCAAGAACUCUGAAAAGAAGAUGGAAAGUGAGGAAGACAGUAAUUGGGAGAAAAGUCCAGACAAUGAAGAUUCUGGAGACUCUAAGGAUAUCCGCCUUACUCUUAUGGAAGAAGUAUUGCUUCUGGGACUAAAAGAUAAAGAGGUAAUGCAGUUAGGUUUGCUAGGCUAUCUCAAAGACUAUUAAAUAUUGGAAUGUUUUAGGAAGUAAUCUAAUGGAAUAUAUUUAAUAAUAAAUUGGUCUUAGAAUUGUGCUCUAACCAUCUGGAAGAUGGAGGAGUUGGGACAG